rnacentral:tRNA from 1 species
GUACCCGUAGCUCAGUUGGAUAGAGCGACAGACUCCGACUCUGUAGGUCAACGGUUCAAUUCCGUUCGGGUAUACCA